AGAGUUUGAUCCUGGCUCAGAUUGAACGCUGGCGGCAUGCCUUACACAUGCAAGUUGAACGGUAACAGGUCUUCGGACGCUGACGAGUGGCGAACGGGUGAGUAAUACAUCGGAACGUGCCCAGUCGUGGGGGAUAACUACUCGAAAGAGUAGCUAAUACCGCAUACGAUCUGAGGAUGAAAGCGGGGGACCUUCGGGCCUCGCGCGAUUGGAGCGGCCGAUGGCAGAUUAGGUAGUUGGUGGGAUAAAAGCUUACCAAGCCGACGAUCUGUAGCUGGUCUGAGAGGACGACCAGCCACACUGGGACUGAGACACGGCCCAGACUCCUACGGGAGGCAGCAGUGGGGAAUUUUGGACAAUGGGCGAAAGCCUGAUCCAGCAAUGCCGCGUGCAGGAUGAAGGCCUUCGGGUUGUAAACUGCUUUUGUACGGAACGAAAAAGCUUCUCCUAAUACGAGAGGCCCAUGACGGUACCGUAAGAAUAAGCACCGGCUAACUACGUGCCAGCAGCCGCGGUAAUACGUAGGGUGCGAGCGUUAAUCGGAAUUACUGGGCGUAAAGCGUGCGCAGGCGGUUAUGUAAGACAGAUGUGAAAUCCCCGGGCUCAACCUGGGAACUGCAUUUGUGACUGCAUGGCUAGAGUACGGUAGAGGGGGAUGGAAUUCCGCGUGUAGCAGUGAAAUGCGUAGAUAUGCGGAGGAACACCGAUGGCGAAAGCAAUCCCCUGGACCUGUACUGACGCUCAUGCACGAAAGCGUGGGGAGCAAACAGGAUUA
rnacentral:rRNA from 1 species